rnacentral:lncRNA from 1 species
GAGUGACCAGAUUAUCUAGAACUAACUGUCAGUGUUAUUACCUGUCUUUUGGCAUGCGACAUCCUUUAUAACCAGGGGAAAUUGUCAGCCACAGUUAUAUUACAAAAUAGAAUCCUGUUAAGUCUCCAGAACUGUGAAUUAAGAAAAUGUAUUUUCUUUAUAAAGUUUUGUAGCCUGGAACAUGUAGGAAUAACGAUGAAGAAGUACUACUAAACCCAUAAAAGGCACGGAAGAUGACCAUAAUUUAGCAGAAAACUAAGCCAUGAUGUAAAUCAGAUACAUGUUUACCAAGAAAAAUAGGAGCUCUGGAAUAAAAGUAACUUACCCUGGUCAGAGAAAGCCUGGACCUUAAACCCAACUAAGCUGCUAAUAACUGGCAUCCACCAGCGGAAGAGCUGCUUCUGAGAGGACCUGCAUGGUUCAAGAGAUUGGGAAGAGUGUGACAGCUGUUUCUUCCAGCUAAAGGGGAAACUCCCUGACUGGAAGAGCUAGUAGAAUCUGUCCUUGGCUGUUUCUUCAGAAGUCUACUUAGAGAUACCUAGAAGUACUUCCAUAAUUUUACAAAGUCAUAUUGAAUGUACACAUUGCAACCUUGGCCUCAUUUUGGUGCAGUUACCUCAGACCCUGUGACGGACCAUGGGAGUCCCAGGGCUAUUUCGGGUCUCAGCUUUGAUAGAUGUGGCUAGAAAGUAGAAAUUCCCCAUUGCUGAUGCUUUAGCAUCUUCCAGUACUAAAGGCUGCUCGAAAACUGCAUGGGGGAGACAGAGAGGGAGAACAAUGGAUCAGUGUGACAGCAGUACACAGCUAGGGACAGAGGAGAACUCGGGAAGUUAGGAAAGAUACUGGGAGACAAGGUAUGAAGAAUGGCAGCCAAAGGUUUUAUGGCAGGUAAUCUAAGUGAGAAAGGGAAGGAGCGUGGAGAAUACAAUUUUCUGAAAUAGAAUAAUCAAAUAAGCAUGUUUACCGCUACUAGCUAUGCAUUAGCAUUACCUUUGGACUUCACUCCAGAUCAUUUAUAUCAAGCACUGCAGGAGUGUAACCCUGGCGGGCUUCAGUAUUUUUCAAAAGCCUCUCUGUUGGUACUGACAGCAUAGCUGGGAAUGUGAAGCUGCUGCUUACAAAGUGCACCCCAUUAGCAAGAGGCUUCCUAGGAAAUGUCACCUACAAGAUCCCCAUCCAUCUUUUCCCCUGUCCUGACAGCCCUCAUCUGUAGUGCCAAACUGAGUGUGGAUUGGUGACUCCUUUUUCACCACUCACCAGAGUUCACCAUUGCUGCACAUAAAUGUCUGGUUACAGGAGGUCCUUUCCUUCAGUGAGAGCACCUAAGCAAAGCAUAAUACGUUUUGCACUGAGGGCAAGUUAAACCAAUCCUACCACACAGUCAUAAAUAAAACAUGAAUAGGGGAAUCCAGAGCUACUGGUUGUAAAACCCAUAAAUGUUUCAAGUUACUCAUUAAUAAUGUUCCUGCUUUCUGCGGAGGAGUAUGUAAAAGUUCUGCUUUCAUAAUUCUUUCUUCUACUAGGUAUCACCUUUUCCAGAAUCAAGGAAAAAAGGGGAAAAAAAAGCAGAGGAAAAGGGAAGGAAAGAAACACAUACAUUUACAUCGUUGCAAUGACAAUUUACAAACCAGUCGAGAACUUUAUCAGUAUGCAGCCAGAAGGACCAUGCAUGUUGGUCAGUUUUGUUUUCUAUGUUUUUCUUGCUGUUCUUUUUAUGAUUUAUUUUAUAUAUAAUAUAUUAUAAACACAGUACACACAUAAUGUAUUAUAGACACAUUAUGUAAUAUAUAUUAUAGACAUAUUAUAUAUAAACAUAUAUGUUCAUCUGCACUAUGAUUAUUUGGACACAAUGGAAUAAGGAGUAACUGCAGUAAUGAAAACAAUUACUAGAAACCAGAAUAUCAUUUUAUUUUACUUGCUCUUAUGCAUAAUUUCACCUUAAUUUUCUCCAGGAAGUUCUAUAAUAGUCAUCAGUUGGUUAUUCACUUAGAGAAAGAAACCAGUUUCAAGGUUAGUACACUGAAUGACAAUAUAGACCUGCUUACCUUCAUGAUUACCCAGCAGCCCACCAAAUCGUAGUCUGGAUCCUCCAGGAAACCACAGAAGUGGCCACUGAUAUUCUUUUAUAAACUAAGUGGAAAUAAAGUAAGACUUUCCACUUCUUUUCAUGCAGUCAUUUUUCCAACUUAAGCAACACAAAUCUGAAACGGAGUAAGUACCAAUUUCGGAUCAAACUGGUCUGAAAACAAAAGUUAUAAACAGUUUGCUUACAGAAUAAUUGUAUAUAUGCUACCUAUAUGCUGUGACAACAUAGUUAAAAUCAUAGCUCUAGAAACAUCUGCAGGCAGCAGUUAUAACUAACUUAAUUGCUAAAGCUAAUCUUGUUCCUUCUCUCAAUUUUUACUGAUCAUCUGUUCUCCAAACUGAGCUAAGAUGACUUAUUAAAUAAAUACAUUCAUUAAAACUGUGAGUUGUAGAGGUGGAGAGAUGGCUCAGCAGUUAAAAACAUUAAGGGCACUGGUUGCUCUUCCAGUGGCCCUGAGUUCAAUUUUCAGCAACUACAUCGUAGCUCAUAACUAUCUACAAUAUGAUCUGAUGCCCUCUUCUGCCAUGCAGGUGUGCAUGUAGAUAGAGCACUCAUACUUAAAAUU